rnacentral:lncRNA from 1 species
ACACCAAGGACAUACUUACCUAAAAUGUUGUUCUAGAGUCAAAAGACCAGAGUUCAAAUCCCAUCUCGGAUGCUUCCUAUCUUGGUGACCUUGAGCAAAUCAUUUCCCUCAUCCAUAAAAUGAGGGAAUUAGACCGGAUGACUUCCAGGGUCCUUUGCCAAUUACUGAUCUGGGAUCCAAAGCAAAUAUAAAACUUGUGGUAGUCAAGCAUUCAGACUUCAGGUUCUCUGUAAAUAAAUAACUCCCAUAAGGUAUUAAUAUUCUUGACUUUUUCCUGAUCAUCUGAAAAGACAAUCUGCACCCUGGAACCUCACCUGGACACAUUCAAUCACUGAAAUGAAGGGAUCAAAGUUUGCUGCAAUGAAGCAAUAAGUUCACAGAAUCAAAGAUGGAGAAACAGAAGAGACCUAAGAAGUCAAAAAGUACCACUCUCCACUCUCCUCAUUUUGCAGCUGGGAAGCAGACACCCUGCUGUACAGAGGGAACAGAGCAGUGUCACGGCCCCACCAUUUUAAUAGGAACCAGCAGUGGGUAUCAUCAUCACCCCCACCUGUAA